rnacentral:rRNA from 1 species
UGGGGAAUCUUGGACAAUGGGCGCAAGCCUGAUCCAGCCAUGCCGCGUGGAUGAUGAAGGCCUUAGGGUUGUAAAAUCCUUUCGCCGAGGACGAUAAUGACGGUACUCGGAGAAGAAGCUCCGGCUAACUUCGUGCCAGCAGCCGCGGUAAUACGAAGGGGGCUAGCGUUGUUCGGAUUUACUGGGCGUAAAGCGCGUGUAGGCGGGUCGUUAAGUUGGGGGUGAAAUCCCGAGGCUCAAGCUCGGAACUGCCUUCAAAACUGGCGACCUGGACCUAAGUAGAGGCAAGUGGAAUUGCGAGUGUAGAGGUGAAAUUCGUAGAUAUUCGCAGGAACACCAGUGGCGAAGGCGACUUGCUGGACUUAUGGUGACGCUGAGACGCGAAAGCGUGGGGAGCAAACAGGAUUAGAUACCCUUGUAGUCCCUGAGCGGGCUGGCAAGGCGCAU